CAAUUAAAAAUUUAUUUCUUUUCUUAUUAAAAUAUCUAGUUUCAUUCAGUUCUUCAGAACAUUGCUUCGUUACUAGGAGUUUAACAGAGAAAAAAAUGCUAAUUGCACGGUUAUUUUGUCUAAUCAUGACAAUGAUGUGUUCAGUACAAGCACAAGAAAAAGUGUACAGUCUUUGGUGGUCAGAUGGAGAAACCUUCUAUCCCUUAGUUUAUCCUGAUGGAAGAAAUGCUGGUGGACCUGGACCUGGACCUGGAGGUUUUAACGGACCACAGGCCAACGUCCAGCAAAUGAGAGCUCCCCCUCGUGGAAGAAAGUAGGAGAACUACUCACUACCCAGGCAGUA